GGGUGCAAUCGUAACAGCACUAAAGCAGCGGAUCCCAUCAGAACUUUGAAGUUAAGCGUGCUUGGGCGAUCCUAGUACUAUCAAGGGUGACCUCCUAGGAAGUGCUCGUGUUGCAUUCC
rfam:Triticum aestivum genome assembly, contig: Triticum_aestivum_CS42_TGACv1_scaffold_050051_1BS